AGAGUUUGAUUAUGGCUCAGGAUGAACGCUAGCGACAGGCCUAACACAUGCAAGUCGAGGGGCAGCACAAGGAGUAAUCUGAGGUGGCGACCGGCGCACGGGUGAGUAACACGUAUGCAACCUGGCUGUAAGAGGGGGAAUAACCCGGAGAAAUCCGGACUAAUACCGCAUAAUACUUAGAAUUCGCAUGGAUUUUAAGUUAAACAUUUAUGGCUUACAGAUGGGCAUGCGUAUGAUUAGCUGGUUGGAGAGGUAACGGCUCCCCAAGGCAACGAUCAUUAGGGGUUCUGAGAGGAAGGUCCCCCACACUGGUACUGAGACACGGACCAGACUCCUACGGGAGGCAGCAGUGAGGAAUAUUGGUCAAUGGACGCAAGUCUGAACCAGCCCAAGUCGCGUGAAGGAAGAAUGUCCUAUGGAUUAUAAACUUCUUUUGAAGGGGAAUAAAGUACGGUACGUGUACCGUUUUGUAUGUACCCUUCGAAUAAGGAUCGGCUAACUCCGUGCCAGCCGCUGC
rnacentral:rRNA from 1 species